GGAGUUUGGGCCGUGUCUCAGUCCCAAUGUGGCCGAUCACCCUCUCAGGUCGGCUAUGGAUCGCGGUCUUGGUGGGCCGUUACCCCGCCAACUAACUAAUCCAACGCGGGCCCAUCUUGCACCGAUAAAUCUUUUCCGGAUAGACCAUGCGGUCCUACUGGCUUAUGCGGUAUUAGCAGUCGUUUCCAACUGUUGUCCCCCUGUGCAAGGCAGGUUACCCACGCGUUACUCACCCGUCCGCCACUAAGUUUAAUCUUCCAUUGGAGCAAGCUCCGCUUUCUUACUAAACUCCGUUCGACUUGCAUGUGUUAAGCACGCCGCCAGCGUUCAUC
rnacentral:rRNA from 1 species